rnacentral:rRNA from 1 species
GACGAACGCUGGCGGCGUGCCUAAUACAUGCAAGUCGAGCGAACAGACGAGGUGCUUGCUCCUCUGACGUUAGCGGCGGACGGGUGAGUAACACGUGGAUAACCUACCUAUAAGACUGGGAUAACAUUGGGAAACCGGAGCUAAUACCGGAUAAUAUAUUGAACCGCAUGGUUCAAUAGUGAAAGACGGUAUUGCUGUCACUAAUAGAUGGAUCCGCGCCGAAUUAGUUUGUUGGUAAGGUAACGGCUUACCAAGGCAGCGAUGGGUAACCGACCUGAAAGGGUCGUCGCCUACACGGGAUGUGAGAAAGGGUCCACACUCUGAGGGUGGGACGCGGUAGGGACUCUUCCGCAAGGGAGGAAGGCGUAACGGAGCACAGCGGGGUGAGUGAUGAAGGUCUUAGGAUCGUAAAACUAUGUUGUUAGGAAGGAAGAAAUGUGUAAGUAACUGUGCACAUAUUGACGGUACCUAAUCAGAAAGCCACGGCUAACUCCGUG